UACGGAGGGGGCUAGCGUUGUUCGGAAUUACUGGGCGUAAAGCGCACGUAGGCGGCUUUGUAAGUUAGAGGUGAAAGCCCGGGGCUCAACCCCGGAAUUGCCUUUAAGACUGCAUCGCUUGAACGUCGGAGAGGUGAGUGGAAUUCCGAGUGUAGAGGUGAAAUUCGUAGAUAUUCGCAAGAACACCAGUGGCGAAGGCGGCUCACUGGCCCGAUACUGACGCUGAGGUGCGAAAGCGUGGGGAGCAAACAGG
rnacentral:rRNA from 1 species